CCUACGUGUGGCAGCAGUGGGGAAUAUUGGACAAUGGGCGAAAGCCUGAUCCAGCCAUGCCGCGUGUGUGAAGAAGGCCUUCGGGUGGUAAAGCACUUUCAGUGGGGAAGAAAGCCUUGGGGCUAAUCCCCUCGAGGAAGGACAUCACCCACAGAAGAAGCACCGGCUAACUCCGUGCCAGCAGCCGCGGUAAUACGGAGGGUGCGAGCGUUAAUCGGAAUUACUGGGCGUAAAGCGUGCGUAGGCGGUCUGAUAAGCCGGUUGUGAAAGCCCCGGGCUCAACCUGGGAACGGCAUCCGGAACUGUCAGGCUAGAGGGCAGGAGAGGAAGGUAGAAUUCCCGGUGUAGCGGUGAAAUGCGUAGAGAUCGGGAGGAAUACCAGUGGCGAAGGCGGCCUUCUGGACUGACACUGACGCUGAGGUGCGAAAGCGUGGGUAGCAAACAGGAUUAGAUACCCCAGUAGUC
rnacentral:rRNA from 1 species